AUUGAACGCUGGCGGCGGGCCUAACACAUGCAAGUCGAACGAGUGGCGGACGGGUGAGUAAUGUCUGGGAAACUGCCUGAUGGAGGGGGAUAACUACUGGAAACGGUAGCUAAUACCGCAUACCAUCAGAUGUGCCCAGAUGGGAUUAGCUAGUUGGUGGGGUAAAGGCUCACCAAGGCGACGCUCCCUAGCUGGUCUGAGAGGAUGACCGGCCAACCUGGAAACGAGACACGGUCCAGAGUCCGACGGGAGGCAGCAGUGGGGAAUAUUGCAGAAGGGGCGCAAGCCUGAUGCAGCCAUGCCGCGUGUAUGAAGAAGGCCUUCGGGUUGGAAAGUACUUUCAGCGGGGAGGCGUUACCCGCAGAAGAAGCCCCGGCUAACUCCGUGCCAGCAGCCGCGGUAAUUC
rnacentral:rRNA from 1 species